rnacentral:tRNA from 1 species
GGAGAAGUGACCGAGCUAGGCUGAUGGUACUUCCCUGCUAAGGAAGAUAUCUCUUAUGAGAUACGAGAGUUCAAAUCUCUCCUUCUCCGCCA